CUCGCUCGCAGCACCAAUUGAAGAACCAGACGACGCGAGUGUGGUAAAAAAGAAGUCUACGUGUGUGUCUGAGAGGAGAGUACAACUUUUUGCAGCCUCUCAGGGUUACGAGGGCCUGCAGCGUUGUUAGAGCUUGUAAAAAGAAGAAAAAAAAGUAGCAGCAGUAGAAAACUAAUUCCAAGUGUGAGAGAAGAACGAACGUAACGUUAUUCCAAGCGGGCUGAAUACCGUACGUGUAUAUCGGACUAUAUAAAUAUUGUACACAC
rnacentral:misc_RNA from 1 species